CGCUGGCGGCAGGCCUAACACAUGCAAGUCGAGCGGAUGAGAGGAGCUUGCUCCUGGAUUCAGCGGCGGACGGGUGAGUAAUGCCUAGGAAUCUGCCUGGUAGUGGGGGACAACGUUUCGAAAGGAACGCUAAUACCGCAUACGUCCUACGGGAGAAAGCAGGGGACCUUCGGGCCUUGCGCUAUCAGAUGAGCCUAGGUCGGAUUAGCUAGUUGGUGAGGUAAUGGCUCACCAAGGCGACGAUCCGUAACUGGUCUGAGAGGAUGAUCAGUCACACUGGAACUGAGACACGGUCCAGACUCCUACGGGAGGCAGCAGUGGGGAAUAUUGGACAAUGGGCGAAAGCCUGAUCCAGCCAUGCCGCGUGUGUGAAGAAGGUCUUCGGAUUGUAAAGCACUUUAAGUUGGGAGGAAGGGCAGUAAAUUAAUACUUUGCUGUUUUGACGUUACCGACAGAAUAAGCACCGGCU
rnacentral:rRNA from 1 species